rnacentral:rRNA from 1 species
CCUACGGGAGGCAGCAGUGAGGAAUAUUGGUCAAUGGCCGGAAGGCUGAACCAGCCAAGCCGCGUGAAGGACGAAGGUGCCAAGCAUUGUAAACUUCUUUUGUCAAGGGACAAAAGCAGGCACGAGAGCCUGACCGAGGGUACCUGAAGAAAAAGCAUCGGCUAACUCCGUGCCAGCAGCCGCGGUAAUACGGAGGAUGCGAGCGUUAUCCGGAUUUAUUGGGUUUAAAGGGUGCGUAGGCGGACGGUUAAGUCAGCGGUAAAAGGCCGGGGCUCAACCCCGUCGAGCCGUUGAAACUGGGUGUCUUGAGAUGUCGAGAGGUAUGCGGAAUGCGCGGUGUAGCGGUGAAAUGCAUAGAUAUUGCGCAGAACUCCGAUUGCGAAGGCAGCAUACCGGCGGCGAUCUGACGCUGAGGCACGAAAGCGUGGGUAUCGAACAGGAUUAGAUACCCCGGUAGUC